CAAAGGAGCCAUUCAUCCAGGGAUGCUGGAGGUCUGGGCUCACCUGGGAAUGGAGAUGGCAACACCUACAUGUGACCUUUCCAGCAUGGCAGUCUCAGAGUGGAUAUGGCAACAGCUGCACAUGAACUCUCCGGCAUGGCAGUCUCAGAGUGGAUAUGGCAACAGCUGCACAUGACCUCUCCGGCAUGGCAGUCUCAGAGUGGAUAUGGCAACACCUGCACACGACCUCUCCGGCAUGGCAGUCUCAGAGUGGAUAUGGCAACACCUACACACGACCUCUCCAGCAUGGCAGUCUCAGAGUGGAUAUGGCAACAGCUACACAUGACCUCACCGGCAUGGCAGUCUCAGAGUGGAUAUGGCAACAGCUACACAUGACCUCACCAGCAUGGCAGUCUCAGGUUACUGGUACUUCUUAGGUCUCAGCUGAGGACUCCAGUGCAGGUGUUGCAAGACAGCAGACGUAGCACUGCUUAUGUGUAUCCUGAAGUCCCAUGUGUAUCCUGAAGUCCCAGAAAGCUGCUUCAAGUAGAUUCCAGUGGAGAAGGGAGUCACCAAGGCUGGACAGUCAUUUAUCCAUGGCAGGACUAGCAAAAAAAUCUGCACCAUCUCUCAUCGCACACACGUGGGCGCAGUCAACAGCAGUGGAAGAGCUGGCUCAUGUGUGGCUCAGGCUGACUCCACAAUCAGAGUGAUUAUGUGGAAAUCAAUCAGAAUUUUCUUCUUAGAAGAUGUUUGUUCUGACAUAAUGACUGACUUUCCAGCUAAUUUUUAUUCAUAGGCUUCUCCUUGCACAAUGAUCUCUAUUUCUCUCAAUGUUAUUCUGUGUCUUUCUUGCUUGCCUGCACAUUCUGAAAAAAAAAGGAAAGCAAUUCCCUACAUUUUAUUUUGAUACUUAAUGUUGUUUGCUAACAUAUUCAGAACACAAUGCAACUUUAUAUAUUAGAGCACUUAUAAUAUAUAUUAGGAAAACAUCAAUUAGGUACCACCAGUUAUUUUAGACAGGUAUCUCUUAGGUAAAAUGUGGUGAAAAUAGAGGGGCAAUGAUAGAAUUCAUAUGUGAAAGAGUCAAUUGGCCAUCAUUAUGCCAAAAUUAUUUUGUGGUUCAGGGGACAUUUUAAACUUUAAUUUUUAAGAAUUAAACUUUAAUUAAAUUUAUUGUAGUUUAAAUGCAAUCACAAGGAAAGACUCUGAACUGGAAACACCAAGCCAAGCUCUUUCCUAGUUCUGGUCCCCUAUAAACCCUGAAAGUUAAUGCAAUUAUUGUAAUUUUUAAACCACCGAGUUCUCAGGGUGAUUAGUUAUGCAGCAAUAGAUAGCCUGAAAAGGACCAUUCUUUCUGGCACUGAAAAUUAAGAAGAGUGAUUAACAACAUAAGAAUGUAGUUUGUGCUGUCUGCCACAGAUUUAUGUUGUAGCUUCAGUGAUUGCUUCAAAGCACCCUUACUAAUUGCCAGCCUAUUGCUGAUACCUAGCUAAAUUAGCAUGUGUUAGUUUUGAUACCACUAUAGGCAUUUAAAGGAUAGCUGAUACAUUCUAUAUAAAAUAUAAUUAUUUUCCUAUCUUUAGUUUAUCCUAAAGUAGCAGCUAUUAUAUUCGCUUCUUGAUUAGCUUUAUACAUAACCAGAGAAAGUAAAAUAUCACAGAGUAUAUUUGAAGACAUAAAAGUCUUUGGACAAAGCUCAAGUAAUGAAUCAGGAUGCUAUUACAUCCUCCACAUGACAGUAAAUAUAUUUUAUAUUCCUAAAUUUUAAGCUUUUAACAAAAGCAAAUUUUAUACUGGACUAUUUCAAUUUCUAGGGAAAGGAAAUUAUCAUUUACUGUCUUUGAGGCUAUAAUCUAUUUAGCCAUUAUUUUUAUAUUGAUCAAUUUAUAAUAAAGGUAAGAGAAAAUACUACCACAUAUAUGUUGUUUAUAUAAUUUUAACUUUCAUAAUUAAAAUACUGGGUAUACUGCAAGAUGUCAAUAUUUAUAAUAGCUUAUAUUUGGAAACAAUUAUACUUUAUAUACUCCUAAUCCAUUGCCUUGUGUGUCAUUGAAGAAAUUGAAGUUCACAAUAAUGACUGAACAAAUGCUCAAAGCUGGUCUGUGGCAGAACCAAAAAUUUCCAUGGCACCUUUCUCUUUCCAUAUUGGGGUGAUCUGCCUAAUUUGACUUUCUGCUUAUAUGUCUAGACUCUACCCCUCAUUCCUUCUGCUAGUGUGUUGUUGAACCCUUUCUAUUAACCCACUCUCGAUUUUUCUGUUGCACAAUCAAUCUGUAGCCUGAAUGUUGAGUCCCAAAUGCAUGAGCUACCUGGCCGAGUAAUCUAACUAGAUUAGCCUGAGUAUAUCACUUUAAGGCCAAUGUAAAGUUAUGUUGUAACUACCUCAUAGUUUUGCAGAGGCAAGAAAUAGAAGUUAAGGAAGAGAAGAAGCCAAUCUUGAAUCAGUUAGAAUUUCCUUGGACAUAGAAAAUCUCUACAAGCAAAAACCCAUUUGAUUGAACAAGCAAGCUUAUGCAGUUAAAUAUAUCAAAGAUCUUGUCACAAAAAGUGUAAAGGGAAAGUAAAAUAAGGAGGGAGCAUGAAGAAGCCAGCUUAUAUUAAAGAUUCAAAGCAGGGAUAUAAGGAAAUUCAAGCCAAAAAUAAGGAAGAAUUCUUAUAAAUGCCCCAAGAAUGAAUUCGAUGUUUGGUCGAUAUUCCAACAGAUUUAGUAAUGCUAUUUUUAAAGUCAACAGGCUGCCCAUUUUUGCCUCACACUCUGACUGCAUGUAAUCUGUCAAGUACUCUGAUGAGUUCUGGAGAUGCUAAUGCAAAAAAGAUAUAAAAUCCUUACCUUGAAAAUGUAGUUCACAAUUUAGCCAUGGAGUUAUGGCAAGCAUCUUGUCUUCAAUUUUAGCCCCUCCUCCAUCCCUCUCCCAGACACCCAUUGUCCUCUUUCUCACCACAUCCACCCCCUUUUUUGUCCUGUCUUUGGUGCACUAUUUAUAAUUCUUCUCAUGUCUACCACAACUAUUUUGGGUAGUAAGAACAUCAGUAUGGAGACCCCUUAAUCCUAACUAAUAUCAACUCUAUCUGUUUGGUAUUAAUUCUUGUUUAUUGAACUUGAGGCAUUGAGUACUACAAAAAUUAUAAUACACUACUGGUGAACAUUACUUUAUUAAUGAUUAGGUUCCACUUGGAUGUUUGUCAUUCGUAUGUAGCUGUUCUCUCCUUGUAGCCUGUAAACUUUCUAUGGAUGUCACAAAAAGAGUUUUAAGGAUUUUGCUUAAAUUAAAAUUAAUACAUCAAGAAAAUACUAUGCCUCAAACAAAAAAUAAUCAGUUAAUUUAGUUUUUAGAAAUCUUUUACAAAAAACGUGAUAUUUAAUAAUCUUUAUGCAAGGAUUUUUGGGAUAUUAAAAUUGUCACAGAUUUAAUAAUACGUUUUAUUGUAUAAAAUUUUUCUUUUCUCUUCAAAGUGUUGGGAGAGUGAAUUCUCUAAGUAAAAACUGAAGAGUAAGAUGUUAUCAUUAAACAUUUCAGAAAAUGCACACUAUCGUAGACUGCGCACUGUGAAAAUGAUCAGCUAGUAGAGGUUUUGGUGAACAUAUAGUAACUUUUAUCAACAAGUAAUGUGAAUAUGUGAAAUCUAUUGCUUUUCCAAAAGAAAGAAACUUUUACACUUCUUGGUAAAGAUAAACUUUCAUGUAAGAAAAAAUAAAAACAUAAUUUUAGCAAUCCAAACCAUACUAAAAUCAUAAACACUUGACCACAUGUUUGAGUACC
rnacentral:lncRNA from 10 species